rnacentral:rRNA from 1 species
AUUGAACGCUGGCGGCAGGCCUAACACAUGCAAGUCGAACGGUAACAGGAAACAGCUUGCUGUUUCGCUGACGAGUGGCGGACGGGUGAGUAAUGUCUGGGAAACUGCCUGAUGGAGGGGGAUAACUACUGGAAACGGUAGCUAAUACCGCAUAACGUCGCAAGACCAAAGAGGGGGACCCUCGGGCCUCUUGCCAUCGGAUGUGCCCAGGUGGGAUUAGCUUGUUGGUGGGGUAACGGCUCACCAAGGCGACGAUCCCUAGCUGGUCUGAGAGGAUGACCAGCCACACUGGAACUGAGACACGGUCCAGACUCCUACGGGAGGCAGCAGUGGGGAAUAUUGCACAAUGGGCGAAAGCCUGAUGCAGCCAUGCCGCGUGUAUGAAGAAGGCCUUCGGGUUGUAAAGUACUUUCAGCGGGGAGGAAGGGAGUAAGGUUAAUACCUUUGCUCAUUGACGUUACCCGCAGAAGAAGCACCGGCUAACUACGUG